UUAUUUAAAGAUGAUUCCUACCCCGUUCCUAAGUACUCGUGCCGCAGGAGAGAUGUAUUAAUCUGCAAGUUCCUCCUGCUGCUCAAGUUCUUAACCAAUGGGUGGGAGAAACCUCCAAAUU
rnacentral:pre_miRNA from 1 species